rnacentral:rRNA from 1 species
AUUGAACGCUGGCGGCAGGCCUAACACAUGCAAGUCGAACGAGUGGCGGACGGGUGAGUAAUGUCUGGGAAACUGCCUGAUGGAGGGGGAUAACUACUGGAAACGGUAGCUAAUACCGCAUACCAUCAAAUGUGCCUAGAUGGGAUUAGCUUGUUGGUGGGGUAACGGCUCACCAAGGCGACGAUCUCUAGCUGGUCUGAGAGGAUGACCAUCCACACGGGAACUGAGACACGGUCCAGACUCCAACGGGAGGCAGCAGUGGGGAAUAUUGCACAUUGGGGGCAAGCUUAAUGCAGCCAGACCGCGUGUAUGAAAAAGGCCUUCGGGUUGUAAAGUACUUUCAGCGGGGAGGCGUUACCCGCAGAAGAAGCACCGGCUAACUCCGUGCCAGCAGCCGCGGUAAUAC